rnacentral:rRNA from 1 species
GAUGAACGCUAGCGGCAGGCUUAAUACAUGCAAGUCGAACGGUAACAGGUGUAGCAAUACAUGCUGACGAGUGGCAGACGGGUGAGGAACACGUACACAACCUCCCUCUAACCGGGGCACAACUCCGAGAAAUCGGGGCUAACGCCCCAUAACAUUUCGAGAAGGCAUCUGAUUGAAAUUAAAACUACGGUGGUAAGAGAUGGGUGUGCGUCUGAUUAGCUAGUGGGUAGGGUAAUGGCCUACCAAGGCAACGAUCAGUAACUGGUGUGAGAGCACGACCAGUCACACGGGCACUGAGAUACGGGCCCGACUCCUACGGGAGGCAGCAGUAAGGAAUAUUGGUCAAUGGGCGCAAGCCUGAACCAGCCAUGCCGCGUGAGGGAUGAAGGUCCUCUGGAUUGUAAACCUCUUUUAUCAGGGAAGAAAUGUCCUGUUUCUACGGGAUUUGACGGUACCUGAGGAAUAAGCACCGGCUAACUCCGUGCCAGCCGCCGCCGUAAGAC